rnacentral:rRNA from 1 species
UACGUAGGGGCCGAGCGUUGUCCGGAGUUACUGGGCGUAAAGCGCGCGCAGGCGGCUCGUCAAGCCUGACGUGAAAGCCCCCGGCUCAACCGGGGAGGGUCGUCGGGGACUGGCGGGCUUGAGGUCGGCAGGGGUUGGUGGAAUUCCCGGUGUGGUGGUGAAAUGCGUAGAGAUCCGGAAGAACACCGGUGGCGAAGGCGGUCGACUGGGCCAGUACUGACGCUGAGGCGCGACAGCGUGGGGAGCAAACAGG